CCCAGACUCAUUUACACAAGAGUACCUGC
rnacentral:piRNA from 1 species